rnacentral:rRNA from 1 species
AUUGAACGCUGGCGGCAUGCCUUACACAUGCAAGUCGAACGGCAGCGGGCCCUUCGGGGUGCCGGCGAGUGGCGAACGGGUGAGUAAUGCAUCGGAACGUACCCGGGAGAGGGGGAUAACCGGCCGAAAGGCUGGCUAAUACCGCAUGAACUCGGAAGAGCAAAGCGGGGGACCUUCGGGCCUCGCGCCCUCGGAGCGCCCGAUGUCCGAUUAGGCUAGUUGGUGGGGUAAAGGCCCACCAAGGCGACGAUCGGUAGCGGGUCUGAGAGGACGAUCCGCCACACUGGGACUGAGACACGGCCCAGACUCCUACGGGAGGCAGCAGUGGGGAAUCUUGGACAAUGGGCGCAAGCCUGAUCCAGCAAUGCCGCGUGGGUGAAGAAGGCCUUCGGGUUGUAAAGCCCUUUCGGCGGGGAAGAAAUCGGUCAGGCGAAUAGUCUGGCCGGAUGACGGUACCCGCAGAAGAAGCACCGGCUAACUACGUG